GACGAACGCUGGCGGCGUGCCUAACACAUGCAAGUCGAACGGAAAGGCCCUGCUUUUGUGCGCUGGUCGAGUGGAGAAGGGGGGAGUAACACGUGGGUAACCUGUCCCUGACUGUGGGGUAACCUCAGGAAAGUGAGGCUAUUACCGCAUAGGAGCUCCUGCUGCAGGGUGGGGGCUGGAAAGUUUCGGCGGUUGGGGAUGGAAUCGCGGCUUAUCGGCUUGUUGGUGGGGUAGUGGGUUAGCAAGGCUUUGAAGGGUAGCCGGCCUGGGAGGGUGACCGGCCACGUCACGCCGGAGCUACGGCCCAGACUCCUACGGUAGGCAGCAGUGGGGAAUAGUGCACAAUGGGCGGAAGCCUGAUGUAGCAACGCCGCGUCCGGUAUGACGGCCUGCGGUUUGUGAACCGAUUUCGCCUGUGACGAGGCGUUAGUGACGGUAACGGGUAAAGAAGCACCGGCUAACUACGUG
rnacentral:rRNA from 1 species